rnacentral:rRNA from 1 species
UACGUAGGGUGCGAGCGUUAAUCGGAAUUACUGGGCGUAAAGCGUGCGCAGGCGGUAAGUUAAGUCUGAUGUGAAAGCCCCGGGCUCAACCUGGGAAUGGCAUUGGAAACUGGCUUGCUGGAGUGUGGCAGAGGGGGGUGGAAUUCCGCGUGUAGCAGUGAAAUGCGUAGAGAUGCGGAGGAACACCGAUGGCGAAGGCAGCCCCCUGGGCCAUAACUGACGCUGAUGCACGAAAGCUAGGGGAGCAAACAGG